UCUCCAGGAACAGGGUUGGAGUUAAAACCUACAGGACGGUAUCUCUCCAGGAACAGGGUUGGAGAUAAAACCUACAGGAGGGUAUCUCUCCAGGAACAGGGUUGGAGUUAAAACCUACAGGAGGGUAUCUCUCCAGGAACAGGGUUGGAGUUAAAACCUACAGGAGGGUAUCUCUCCAGGAACAGGGUUGGAGUUAAAACCUACAGGAGGGUAGCUCUCCA